rnacentral:rRNA from 1 species
CCUACGGGAGGCAGCAGUGGGGAAUAUUGGACAAUGGGCGCAAGCCUGAUCCAGCCAUGCCGCGUGAGUGAUGAAGGUCUUAGGGUUGUAAAGCUCUUUUGCCAGGGACGAUAAUGACGGUACCUGGAGAAUAAGCCCCGGCUUACUUCGUGCCAGCAGCCGCGGUAAU